CCAAGGAGUCUAACAUGUGCGCGAGUCAUUGGGUCGCUCCAAACCUAAAGGCGCAAUGAAAGUGAAGGCAGCCUCGGGUUUGCCCAGGUAGGAUCCUGGGCCUCUUUUCGGCCGGGGCGCACUACCGGCCCGCCGCGUCUGCCUCGCAGGGCGGCGGAGCAGGAGCGCACACGUUGGGACCCGAAAGAUGGUGAACUAUGCCUGAGUAGGACGAAGCCAGAGGAAACUCUGGUGGAAGUCCGUAGCGGUUCUGACGUGCAAAUCGAUCGUCGAACUUGGGUAUAGGGGCGAAAGACUAAUCGAACCAUCUA
rnacentral:rRNA from 1 species